AUUGAACGCUGGCGGCAGGCCUAACACAUGCAAGUCGAGCGGUUGAAGGGAGCUUGCCCCCUGAUUCAGCGGCGGACGGGUGAGUAAUGCCUAGGAAUCUGCCUAUUAGUGGGGGACAACGUUUCGAAAGGAACGCUAAUACCGCAUACGUCCUACGGGCGAAAGCAGGGGACCUUCGGGCCUUGCGCUAAUAGAUGAGCCUAGGUCGGAUUAGCUAGUUGGUGAGGUAAUGGCUCACCAAGGCGACGAUCCGUAACUGGUCUGAGAGGAUGAUCAGUCACACUGGAACUGAGACACGGUCCAGACUCCUACGGGAGGCAGCAGUGGGGAAUAUUGGACAAUGGGCGAAAGCCUGAUCCAGCCAUGCCGCGUGUGUGAAGAAGGUCUUCGGAUUGUAAAGCACUUUAAGUUGGGAGGAAGGGUUGUAGAUUAAUACUCUGCAAUUUUGACGUUACCGACAGAAUAAGCACCGGCUAACUCUGUGCCAGCAGCCGCAGUAACAC
rnacentral:rRNA from 1 species